GUACUUCUAAAGAGUCCUAAACUAGGACGAAACAGUUGUCCAGUAC
rnacentral:hammerhead_ribozyme from 1 species